rnacentral:lncRNA from 1 species
CUGCUCUGAUCUCCCACCCUAGAAUCAACGGUCUUGGACCGUUUCGGCGCCGGCUGCGAUUGCACCGGAGCCUGCCUCAGCUCACGCAACUGCAACUCAAUCUCCAACUCACGCCGCCUGGCGGCCUCCUGCAACUCCAACAAAGUCUCGCACCUCUGCGUAGACACAAACUGUCUGAUAUCUCUCUUGAGCAUACUCAGAUAUCGGGACAUCUGAGCCUGCUUCGAAGCGAACUCAGGGCAAAACAUCGCCCUCUCAGUGAACAUCUUGGUGAUCUCAGUCACCGACUCCGAACCCUGCUUUAGCUCCAGGAAUUCCUGAUCCAAUCUCUCCCUCUCAACCCUCGGAACAUAACGAGUGCUGAACAGGUGAUCUCAGUCACCGACUCCGAACCCUGCUUUAGCUCCAGGAAUUCCUGAUCCAAUCUCUCCCUCUCAACCCUCGGAACAUAACGAGUGCUGAACAUCUCUCUGAACUGAUCCCAUGAAACCGCAGCCCUCUGUGCAUCCGAAUAUGACCUCGUGGUCAAUCUCCACCAAUCCUUCGCCCCGAGCCUCAACAGGUUCAGAGCACACCUCACCCUCUGAUCAGCAGGGCAUGAACACGUGAAGAAACACCCCUCCACGUCCGAUAACCAUCUCAUA